AAGCUAGCGGCAGGCUAACACAUGCAAGUCGAGGGGUAGAACACUUCGGUGUUUGAGACCGGCGCACGGGUGCGUAACGCGUAUGCAAUCUACCUUAUACAGGGGAAUAGCCCAGAGAAAUUUGGAUUAAUGCCCCAUGGUAUUAUAGAGUGGCAUCACUUUAUAAUUAAAGUUCCAACGGUAUAAGAUGAGCAUGCGUCCCAUUAGUUAGUUGGUAAGGUAACGGCUUACCAAGACGAUGAUGGGUAGGGGUCCUGAGAGGGAGAUCCCCCACACUGGUACUGAGACACGGACCAGACUCCUACGGGAGGCAGCAGUGAGGAAUAUUGGUCAAUGGUCGCAAGACUGAACCAGCCAUGCCGCGUGCAGGAAGACGGUCCUAUGGAUUGUAAACUGCUUUUAUACAGGAAGAAACCCUCCCACGUGUGGGAGCUUGACGGUACUGUAGGAAUAAGGAUCGGCUAACUCCGUGCCAGCAGCCGCGGUAAUACGGAGGAUCCAAGCGUUAUCCGGAAUCAUUGGGUUUAAAGGGUCCGUAGGCGGCCUUAUAAGUCAGUGGUGAAAUCCCAUCGCUCAACGAUGGAACUGCCAUUGAUACUGUAGGGCUUGAAUUAUUGUGAAGUAACUAGAAUAUGUAGUGUAGCGGUGAAAUGCUUAGAUAUUACAUGGAAUACCAAUUGCGAAGGCAGGUUACUAACAAUUGAUUGACGCUGAUGGACGAAAGCGUGGGGAGCGAACAGGAUUAGAUACCCUGGUAGUCCACGCCGUAACGAUGGAUACUAGCUGUUCGGAGCAAUCUGAGUGGCUAAGCGAAAGUGAUAAGUAUCCCACCUGGGGAGUACGCACGCAAGUGUGAAACUCAAAUGAAUUGACGG
rnacentral:rRNA from 1 species